rnacentral:rRNA from 1 species
GCUAUGUCAGACUGACAUGCACCUGAUUUUUGGAAGCUAACCAGUUCUGGGCUUGGAUGAUACUAGGAUAGGAGACCACAUAGGUGCUGCAGUUUACAAGCU